GGGGAUAUAGCUCAGUUGGUAGAGUGCUUGCCUUGCAUGCGUAAGGCCCUGGGUUCAAUCCCCGGAACUACCC
rfam:Ictidomys tridecemlineatus contig064016, whole genome shotgun sequence.